rnacentral:rRNA from 1 species
GACGAACGCUGGCGGCGUGCUUAACACAUGCAAGUCGAACGGAAAGGCCCUGCUUUUGUGGGGUGCUCGAGUGGCGAACGGGUGAGUAACACGUGAGUAACCUGCCCUUGACUUUGGGAUAACUUCAGGAAACUGGGGCUAAUACCGGAUAGGAGCUCCUGCUGCAUGGUGGGGGUUGGAAAGUUUCGGCGGUUGGGGAUGGACUCGCGGCUUAUCAGCUUGUUGGUGGGGUAGUGGCUUACCAAGGCUUUGACGGGUAGCCGGCCUGAGAGGGUGACCGGCCACAUUGGGACUGAGAUACGGCCCAGACUCCUACGGGAGGCAGCAGUGGGGAAUAUUGCACAAUGGGCGGAAGCCUGAUGCAGCAACGCCGCGUGCGGGAGGACGGCCUUCGGGUUGUAAACCGCUUUCGCCUGUGACGAAGCGUGAGUGACGGUAAUGGGGAAAGAAGCACCGGCUAACUACGG